CCCAACUAUCCCUAUUAAUCAUUACGUCAAUCUUAGAAACCAACAAAAUAAGAUCGAACGUCCUAUUUCAUUAUUCCAUGCUAAUGUAUUCAAGCGUUAGCCUGCUUUAAACACUCUAAUUUUUUCAAAGUAACAGUCCAGAUUCCUCGCAACACCAAAUUAAUGGCAUUACGGCUCAUCAGGAAGGAGGAAUCAGUGAGACCAGUACAUACCAGUGGCAUGACCAACCUACUGACCCCGAAAUUCAACUACGAGCUUUUUAACUGCAACAACUUUAAUAUACGCUAUUGGAGCUGGAAUUACCGCGGCUGCUGGCACCAGACUUGCCUCCAA
rnacentral:misc_RNA from 1 species